rnacentral:rRNA from 1 species
UACGAAGGGGGCUAGCGUUGUUCGGAUUUACUGGGCGUAAAGCGCACGUAGGCGGAUUCUUAAGUCAGGGGUGAAAUCCUGGAGCUCAACUCCAGAACUGCCUUUGAUACUGAGAAUCUCGAGUUCGGGAGAGGUGAGUGGAACUGCGAGUGUAGAGGUGAAAUUCGUAGAUAUUCGCAAGAACACCAGUGGCGAAGGCGGCUCACUGGCCCGAAACUGACGCUGAGGUGCGAAAGCGUGGGGCGCAAACAGG